GGUUAAGGAGUGGAGCUCCUUGAAGUCCAAAAGAGGUUCUAGCAAGGGUAAAUUGAGCUGCUGAGCUAUGGAUCCCACAGUCCUAUGUAUCAGAUUUUAGGGUUUGUUUCUGAUGAUGGUGAUGAUAGGUUUGUGGCUUGCAUAUUUCUGGAGCUUCAUUACCCCUUAAGUUUUACCCUUUUUUGGAUUGAAGGGAGCUCUACCUCUCUACACA
rfam:Citrus clementina cultivar Clemenules unplaced genomic scaffold scaffold_3, whole genome shotgun sequence.